rnacentral:rRNA from 1 species
AGAAUCAACGCUGGCGGCGUGCCUAACACAUGCAAGUCGAACGAGAAAGUGGAGCAAUCCAUGAGUAAAGUAGGCGCACGGGUGAGUAACACGUGACUAACCUACCCUUGAGUGGGGAAUAACUUCGGGAAACCGAGGCUAAUACCGCAUAACACCUACGGGUCAAAGGAGCAAUUCGCUUAAGGAGGGGGUCGCGGCAGAUUAGUUAGUUGGCGGGGUAAUGGCCCACCAAGACGGUGAUCUGUAUCCGGCCUGAGAGGGCGCACGGACACACUGGAACUGAAACACGGUCCAGACUCCUACGGGAGGCAGCAGUGGGGAAUUUUGCGCAAUGGGGGAAACCCUGACGCAGCAACGCCGCGUGGAGGAUGAAGUCCCUUGGGACGUAAACUCCUUUCGAUCGGGACGAUUAUGACGGUACCGGAAGAAGAAGCCCCGGCUAACUUCGUGCCAGCAGCCGC